rnacentral:rRNA from 1 species
AGCAGCCGCGGUAAUUCCAGCUCCAAUAGCGUAUAUUAAAGUUGUUGCAGUUAAAAAGCUCGUAGUUGAAUUUCGGGAUCAGUAUGUUGGUCGUGCUUCGGUACGUACUGUCAUUACUGGUUUCUACCUUCUGAAGAACCUUGAUGUCAUUAAUUUGGUGUCUUGGGGAAUCAGGACUGUUACUUUGAAAAAAUUAGAGUGUUUAAAGCAAGCAUACGCUUGAAUACAUUAGCAUGGAAUAAUGAAAUAGGACGUUUGAUUCUAUUUUGUUGGUUUCUAGGAUCGACGUAAUGAUUAAUAGGGAUAGUUGGGGGCAUUAGUAUUCAAUUGUCAGAGGUGAAAUUCUUGGAUUUAUUGAAGACUAACUACUGCGAAAGCAUUUGCCAAGGAUGUUUUCAUUAAUCAAGAACGAAAGUUAGGGGAUCGAAGACGAUCAGAUACCGUCGUAGUCUUAACCAUAAACUAUGCCGACUAGGGAUCGGAUGAUGUUAUUUUUAAUGACUCAUUCGGCG